rnacentral:lncRNA from 10 species
CCCCGCCCCGACUGGCACCGGAGGCUCGACGGCCACCGCCUCGUCCUGCGUUUCCUGAGGGCCUCCGGCGCGCCGGCUGUCGGGCGCAUCCCUCCAGUAGAGAUGAGGUCUCAUGUGCUGCCCAGGCUGGUCUCGAACUCCUGGACUCAAGCGAUCCGCCCGCGUCGGCCUCCCAAAGCACUUGUUACUUCAGCUCACCCAAUUCCAUAGAACCCUAGCGGGUGCAGAGGAUGCCAAUCUCUGAGCAGAUGAGGGCAGAGAGCAGGAGACCACACUUGGCCCGAGGCAGGACUGCGGAGCUGUGCAAGAGGUGGAGGCUACGCCCGUGACAGCAGAUGGGUCCUGGUAGUCACACAGAAAACCGGCGAGCUGGAUUUGUCCUGGUGAUGAGGCUCUGGAGCAGCAGUUGCAAGGAGUCAUUCCUGUCCUCCUUAACCACAUCCCCAGAGGCCACUCACCUUCUUCCCAGGUGAAUCAUUCAUACAACCCUGGAAAGGAGACAUCCACCUGGCCCUUCCUACCUGGCUGGCCCUUGCUCUGCAGAUGAGUGUGGGAGUUUGCCCAUUGUCAAGGGUAACUGUUGCAAUUACACAUUCAGGAACUGGAAAGACGACCACAGAUGAGGUCUGUGGACCCCCUUACCACCUGACCUCCACACGCCCUCCCUUUGACUAGCAGGCCAGUGGCAUCUUGGACCCCUGGGAUUAGGAAUGAUUCAAAACCCAUAAAGAUUACCACCCAUACCAUCCCCUAAAAUAACUGAUUUUUCUGACCAGGCACGGUGGCUCACGCCCAUAAUACCAGCACUUUGGGAGGCUGAGGCAGGUGGAUCACCUGAGGUCAGGAGUUCGAUACCAACUGUGGGCGGCAAGCCACCCAGGUGCCGAGGCAAGAGACCGAAGACACGAGCUGUUCCAGUAUAAUAAAAUAAGAAUAGUUAUACCAGAUAUAGAUCUUAGAUAUGAUUAUAUAUGAAUAUCAUUAAUCAUUAGUUGGUAGCAAUUACUCUUUAUUCCAAUAUUAUAAUAAUCCUCGCUCUACAAUCAUAACCUAGGAAAAACCAGGCCAUACAGAGAUAGGAGCUGAGGGGACAUAGUGAGGAGUGACCAGAAGAGUGCGAGCCUUCUGUUAUGCCCAGACAGGGCCACCAGAGGGCUCCUUGGUCUAGCGGUGACGCCAGCGUCUGGGAAGACACCCGUUACCUAGCGGACCGUGGUCUAGCGGUAGCGAAAAGUGUCAAGAAACACCACCCGCUACUUAGCAGACCGGAAAAGGGAGUCUCCCUUUCCCCGGGGGAGUUUAGAGACGACUGUACUCCUCCACCUCUUGUGGAGGACCUGACAUCAGUCAGGCUCGCCCGCAGUUAUCCGGAGGCCUAACCGUCUCCCCGUGAUGCUGUGCUUCAGUGGUCACGCUCCUAGUCCGCCUUCAUGUUCCAUCCUGUACACCUGGCUCUGCCUUCUAGAUAGCAGUAGCAAAAUUAGUGAAAGUACUAAAAGUCUCUAAUAAGCAGAAAUAAUGGCGUAAGCUGUCUCUCUGUCUCCUCUCUCUCUCUGCCUCGGCUGCCAGGCAGGGAAGGGCCCCUGUCCAGUGGACACGUGACCCACAUGACCUUACCUAUCAUUGGAGAUGGCUCACUCUCCUUAUCCUGACCCUUUGUCUUGUAUCCAAUAAAUAUCAGUGCAGCCUGGCA